rnacentral:lncRNA from 1 species
GGAUUAUAGGCGUGAGCCACUGUGCCCGGUCUUUUUCUUUAAUGUAGUAUUCACUGGGUUUUUUAAAUUAGUGUCAUAAGUCAGUUAUCCAAGUAGUUUUUCUCCUUUAUUUCAACAUUGACUUCUGACUUUUCCGAAUAUAGGAAUUCCUUCUGUCCUGUUAAGCAGUCCUUCGCUUUCUGCUUUUGGAUACUUAAGUGACCACCUCACUUUUUUGUGAUGCAGCUUGUUCAAUUUUUGGAUAGUUCUCGUGGUAAGAAAAUUCUGGACCAAAUAUGUUGUCUCUAACUUCAGUUCGUUUUAUAAAAUGUUUAUCUUUCACAUCAGCACUGUAUUUCAUAUGAUAAUCUUUAGUUCAUGAUCCUUUUAAAAAUAAUUUUGUUAACUACUAAAUGUGGUCAGAGCUUGGUACUGACUGUUAUGAUCUAAUUACCAAUGGGUAACAAUAGUUGUAUCUAUAUGUAAAUAGUUGGGUAAUUUGCCUACUGUUGCAGCCACUCUUACUGCUGCAUUUUGAAAGUAUAAAUAGUUUUAAAUCCUCUUAACAAGUACCAUUUUAUUUUGUAGAAAUUCCUAAAAAAUGAAAAUGUAAUUAUUUAAUAUAUGCUGGGCACUAUACUAAGCAUUUUAUAUCCUUUAAGCAUAUAGUCCUCUGAUCAACCAUCUUGAUUUUACAGAAGAGGAAACUCUAGAGAAGGAAACUAUUUACUUAGGAUUCCAGAGCUAUUAAUGUGCAAGAGCCAGGAUUCAAAUUCAUGUGCCUAACUUCAUGGUCUUUAUAACCUUGCUCUGUGCCCCAGUGGGGUAAUUUAAAUGCUUUGAAACACACAAAUGAUGUGUAUUUCAUAUAAUACAGGACACAUGGAAAUGCUGAGUAGAACUAUGAUACAAAUCAGCUCACCAUAAAGUACAAUCUCCAGUGGCCAGAGAGAACUAAAAGGAAACUAAAAACCCGCAUGACACAGUUAACUUUGGGGCUUAAGAUGAGAUAAGAGUGAUGGCGCUUGCCAGUAAUCCCAGCUAUUCCAGAGGUCGAGCUGGAAGGAUCCCUUGAGCCGAGUGCGAGGCUGCAUUGAACUAUUACCACACCACUGCACUCCAGCCUGGGCAACAGAGUGAGACCUCAUCUCUGGACAAGUGUUAUUUGUGACAGCACAAUGUUUGAUACAACCCAAAUGUUGAAUGAAAGUGGACCAGCUAAAUAAACCAUGAACAUUUACUCAAUGGAAUGUUAGGCAGCUAUUAAAAAAUAAGGUGCACUGAAUUCGUUAGGAAAGGAUUUAGGUUAUGUUAUCGGAUGAAAAAAAUGUAAAAAACUGAAAGGGGUGGAGGAAAUAAGACCAUAUACUUGACUUGGCUAGAAUUUGCAUUUAAAAAAACACUGAAAGGACAUUUGAAGAGUGUAAUAAAAGUAGUUAAUAUCUAUGGAGCGUGAAUAGGGAAGGAAUGAAGUGAAUAAGGAUAGGAGUGGGAGAGAGGAAUCCUGCCUUUGGGAUACAUUGUUUAUUCUAACACAGAUUUAAAAAUCUGAAUACAUAACAAAAUUUACCAUCUUAACUACUUUUACCUGUAUGCUUCAGUAGCAUUAAGUACAUUCACAUUAUGCAACCAUCACCACCAUUCAUCUCAAGAACUUCAUCUUUCCAAACUGAAACCCUGUACCCACGCUUUAGAUUUUAAAUUGUGUUAACCUGUGACCUAUAAACACGAUUCAAAGGCCAGGUGCGGUGGCUCACGCCUGUAAUCCCAGCACUUUAGGAGACCGAGGUGGGCAGAUCAUGAGGUCAGGAGUUCGAGACUAUCUUGGCCAAUAUGGUGAAACCCCAUCUCUACUAAAAAUACAAAAAUUAGCUGGGCGUGGUGGCAUGCGCUGGUAAUCUCAGCUACUCAGGAGGCUGAGGCAGGAGAAUCACAUGAAUCCUGGGGGCAGAGGUUGCAGUAAGCCAAGAUUGUGCCACUGCACUCCAGCCUGGGCAACCAAAUGAGACUCUGUAAAAAAAAGGAAAAAGAAAAAAGAUUCAAUGGAUGAGUUAAACUAUAUUAGAGACAACAGAUUUUAAAGGUAGUUCUGAGGAAUUUACUCAAGGAAGCGCAGCAAACAAGGGAGGGUAGGAGACUACAAAAAUAAAGUAAAAAGGUCCAAUACAGGCUUUAAAAGGUCCAAUACAGGCUUUAAUAGAAGUUGCAGAAGGAGAGAACAGAAUGGAGAGAACUAUAAAAUGGCUGAUGUUUGCAGGGUGUGGUGGGUCACGCCUGUAAUUCCAGCACUUUGGGAGGCCGAGGUGGGCAGAUCAC